rnacentral:rRNA from 1 species
GAUCAUGGCUCAGGAUGAACGCUAGCUACAGGCUUAACACAUGCAAGUCGAGGGGCAGCAUGUUGGUUGCUUGCAACCGAUGAUGGCGACCGGCGCACGGGUGAGUAACGCGUAUCCAACCUACCCUUGUCCAUCGGNUAACCCGUCGAAAGGCGGCCUAACACGAUAUGCGGUUCACCGCAGGCAUCUAACGUGAACGAAAUGUGAAGGAGAAGGAUGGGGAUGCGU